GAUGAACGCUGGCGGCGUGCUUAACACAUGCAAGUCGAACGGGAAUUCUUUUAUUGCAUCCUCGGACGAUUUAAUUUAAUCCUAGUGGCGGACGGGAGAGUAACGCGUGGGUAACCUGCCUUAUACAGGGGGAUAACAGUCAGAAAUGGCUGCUAAUACCGCACAAGUGCACACAGCUGCAUGGCUCAGCGUGAACAACUCCGGUGGCAUAGGACGGACGCGCGUUGGAUUGGCUGGAUGGUGGGGUAACGGCCCACCAAGGCGACGAUCCAUAGCCGGGCUGUGAGAGCGAGCCGACACAUUGAGACUGAGACGCAGUGCAGACUCCUACAGGAGGCAGCAGUGGGGAAUAUUGCAAAAUGGGGGGAGCCAUGAAGCAGCGACGCCGCGAAAAGGAAGUAGUAUGUCAAUAUGUGAAGUUCGAUCAGCAGGGGAGGUAGUGACGGUACCUAACUAAGAAGCCCCGGCUAACUACGUG
rnacentral:rRNA from 1 species